GUAUGUGUCCAGCCGGUCUCCUGGAGAGCACAUGACAGAAACCCACCUGAAACGAGAUUAGGAGAGAGGCGAAGAGGACUAACCUGCUCGUGUAACCCAAACUGCAAGGAGAACAGACGCAGAGUGGCUGGAACAAACAGAGCUCUCCAGCUCUUUUUUCUGCUUCUCUCCAGAAGUCAGUUCCAUUCUGGUCCACAGCACCCUAGUUCCUUCCACAAGGCUGCUGGAACAACGGCUGCUACUGGACCUUGGCCCCAAAUGUUUCCAGCUUCAGGAAUAGGGUACCCCAACUAGGCCUGAUCUGGAGGAGAAAGAUUGAGAGGACGGGAAAAAUCUUCCAGAAGGAAUGGUUCUGAAUACUGUAGAAGAGAUGUUCAUGCAGCUCUGCAUGGAAAGUAUCCUAACACUUGCUCAAAUGGGUGAGUGAUAGACCCACAAGCUCCACUGGUACAGAGCAGAGGACCUUCAUUCAAAGGCAUCUCAGAGGCACUGAUGGCUCUGAAGGUGUGGGUGCAGUUCUUUACAACAAAUCUUUAUUUCUUCUUAUAAAGUCCCAAAGGAGACCCUCCAGGUGUUCACAGGAGGUGUCCAUACUGGAUGCACCGUCACCUGUCAUUUUCAGUCACUCUCUGGAUGUCUGCAUAAGGUCAACUGCAUGAAAGUGCAUUCAUUCCAAAAUAUUGUGGCUGAAUAAGGCUAGUGGGUGUCUGAAAAAGUGCUACAACCUAGCUCUGUACCACGUAAAAACUGAUUUUAAGACCAACAUACUCAUGUGCAGGUCUUCAAGACCUAUAUAGCUAGGUCUGAGAACUGUGGUAUUUAUGAUUUUUUCCUCUGAAGCAGCUUCACUGCAACUCUCUCGCUGAAUUCUCCUCUCUACCCAAGCUGGCUAUGGACACCUUCUCGUUAUUUCAGUUCCUGACUUGGAUGCAUAUGAAUCUAGGAGAUAAGAGAGGAGCCUCUGAUCUUGGUCCAUUCAUUGUUGACUUCCUUAAUGCCCCAGCUUGCCUGGUUCCUUGAGCAUGAAGCUUUCCACUUCCAGGCCAGGCCAAGGGCACAGGAAGCCGUGCUAAUGCUGACUGCUUAGGCUCCUGACAGCAAUGUCUUUGGACAGGUCACACAACCAUCCCCCUCAGAGGGCUUACCAAGCCCACUGGGGAGCAGCAUGAGGGGCCCUGCUGCUCUUGGGACCCCUGUCCUCUGCCCA
rnacentral:lncRNA from 1 species